CUCGGAAAAAUGAGAGAAGAUAAGGUAUUGUUCCUGCAAGCAGAACAUCCUGUCUUGGAGAUGGGCUUCCCAAGACUCAUGCCCUUCAGCACUGCUUGUUGACCUCUCCUGCAAACACAGGACUUUGAGGGAUCAUCACAACGGCCAAACUACCCUGGACCUACAUGAGUGUGAAAACUCUAGUCCUGCACCCAUCAGAGUGAUGCAUUUUUUCACUGAAAAAUUAUAUUCUGUUGAGACCAGGACUUUUUGCGGGUUCUUUACCAGUUUUUAUGAAGCUCUUACCUGGGAAAGGUUCUCAUGCCUAGGAUGAGACUUGAAAUAUACAUCAAAGAGUAAGAAAACUGUCUCCCCUCCCAGAUAAUCAUCAUAUGAUCAAGGAACUGACUGGUGGCACAGGAGUGCCAAUUUCAAGUUUCUAUACUUCAAGAUGUCUGAAUGUCAGAAUCCUGCAUCCCAGGCAAGCUUUCUGGCCACCAAACUAUCAGUUAUUCUGAAGAACAGCUUCUUCAUUCUCUCCUGUUGGACCUGUUUCACUUUGUAUAAAUAAUUAAACAUUAAUUGGAAGAAGGACUUAAACUUAGACUGCCCAUUGGACUAUUGCAUUGGUCUUUCUCCAGGCCGGUGAAUAGGUAACUAUUUGUACAAACUUGGUAAGCUGCAGAGUGACAGAGGUAGCUGAGGGGUCCCAAAAACUUAAGGGAAAAAAACAAAAACAAAAACAAAACAAAAAAAACCACAAAGCCUCGUGGUGAAGUCAUUUAGUAGUACAAAACAACUGCUUUUCAGUCCUUGACCUGAAUAAGGUAGAACAAGAACUACUAGCUGUUCUAGGGGAGGCUUUAUCAAAUCAUCUCCAACGAUCAUACUUCCAUCAAAUUUUGAAAAGAGAUAAUAUUUGAAAGUCAUACUAUUUUUUUCUGAAGUGAAAAAAAAAAAAAUCCUGCACAAUCCUCU